rnacentral:snRNA from 1 species
AUAUGUGAGGGCCAUCAGGAUGUGACAUCGAUCACCUCAUUGAUAGCAAGGUUCUAUUCAGCUGGGCUGGCUAGGUUAUGUCCCUUCUUCUCCUACAUUCAUGAGUGGCUCCUAUCCCAGAAGCUGUGAGACUGGUCAAAGCAAGUGGUAAUUUCAACUGGAGGAGGCCUAUCCUUGGUCAAAGGCAUGUGAGUCUGUAUGCUCCCCCGUUGGAGCACUAGGAGAACUACCAUAGUUGAGCCAUAUUGAAAGCGAGAACUACCAUAUUGAAAGUGACUCAGUAAGUUGUGGGAUGUAGUAAGAGGCUUUUCAUUCCUCCAU